ACGGGUGAGUAACGCGUGGGAACGUGCCUUUCGGUUCGGGAUAACCCAGGGAAACUUGGGCUAAUACCGGAUACGCCCUUCGGGGGAAAGAUUCAUUGCCGAAAGAUCGGCCCGCGUCGGAUUAGCUAGUUGGUGGGGUAAAAGCCUACCAAGGCGACGAUCCGUAGCUGGUCUGAGAGGAUGACCAGCCACACUGGGACUGAGACACGGCCCAGACUCCUACGGGAGGCAGCAGUGGGGAAUAUUGGACAAUGGGCGCAAGCCUGAUCCAGCCAUGCCGCGUGGGUGAAGAAGGCCUUAGGGUUGUAAAUCCCUUUCAGCGGGGAAGAUAAUGACGGUACCCGCAGAAGAAGCCCCGGCUAACUCCGUGCCAGCAGCCGCGGUAAUACGGAGGGGGCUAGCGUUGUUCGGAAUUACUGGGCGUAAAGCGCGCGUAGGCGGACCUGCAAGUCGGGGGUGAAAGCCCGAGGCUUAACCUCGGAAUUGCCUUCGAUACUGCGGGUCUCGAGUCCGGGAGAGGUGAGUGGAAUUCCUAGUGUAGAGGUGAAAUUCGUAGA
rnacentral:rRNA from 1 species